AGCCGCGGGGCCCCGGGGCAGGCGAAGCUGCACCCGAGUUUGCCACGUGGAUUUGGUAGAUUUGCGACCAUAAAUGGGAAACCAAGAUAUGAAAGUAUACCUCGAGCAAUCUUUACCGUCUUUAGAGGGCGGCUAUUUGGACCCUUGAAGCCCAUCUCUGAAACCCAAGUUAAGCACCUCUAAGAGAAGAGAAAUGCAACAGCCCUGAGGAUAACACUUUUAAAGGAAGUGGUCUAUGGAGGAGACACAGUCUGGGACAUGCUGAAAUUUCUGAGGGCUCAGCUUGGCAGUUUUAGAAAGAACAUGGGUCUUCUCUGGGCCUGGUCUCCUGUCUGCCAACCGGGAACCUCGGCGGGGCUGCUGGCCACUACUUGCCCUCAUAGUCCAGCAGAAAGAAACCGCCUCUGGCUGAUGGUAAGAAAGCCAGGGGCAGAGGCGGCCCUUCGGACGUACCAGGUGAGUUUCCAGGUCAGUUAGCAAAAAGGGUUUUAAGAAGACAUAAAAGUAUAAUUGCAUUAAACAGUGAUUGAUG